UCAGGCCUAACACAUGCAAGUCGAGGGGUAACAAUGCUGCUUGCAGCAGCUGACGACCGGCGCACGGGUGCGUAACGCGUAUGCAACCUACCUUAUACAGAGGGAUAGCCCGGAGAAAUUCGGAUUAAUACCUCAUGGUAAUCUAAUAUCGCAUGAUUUUAGAUUUAAAGAUUUAUCGGUAUAAGAUGGGCAUGCGUAGUAUUAGCUAGUUGGUGGGGUAAUGGCUCACCAAGGCAACGAUACUUAGGGGUUCUGAGAGGAUAGUCCCCCACACUGGUACUGAGACACGGACCAGACUCCUACGGGAGGCAGCAGUGAGGAAUAUUGGUCAAUGGACGCAAGUCUGAACCAGCCAUGUCGCGUGCAGGAUGACUGCCCUAUGGGUUGUAAACUGCUUUUUUACAGGAAUAAUUAUAGAUACGUGUAUUUAUUUGAAUGUACUGUAGGAAUAAGGAUCGGCUAACUCCGUGCCAGCAGCCGCGGUAAUACGGAGGAUUCGAGCGUUAUCCGGAUUUAUUGGGUUUAAAGGGUCCGUAGGCGGGCUUAUAAGUCAGUGGUGAAAUCUUGCGGCUCAACCGUAAAACUGCCAUUGAUACUGUAGGUCUUGAAUCUAGUUGAGGUAGGCGGAAUAAGAUAUGUAGCGGUGAAAUGCAUAGAUAUAUCUUAGAACUCCAAUUGCGAAGGCAGCUUACUAAACUAG
rnacentral:rRNA from 1 species